AACGAACGCUGGCGGCGUGGAUAAGACAUGCAAGUCGAACGGGAUUACUUUUGGUAGCAAUACCGAAAGUAAUUCAGUGGCGAACGGGUGCGUAACACGUGGGCAAUCUGCCGAAAAGUGGGGGAUAGCUCGCCGAAAGGCGAAUUAAUACCGCAUGUGGUGAGGGACGACAUCUUCCUGAAUCCAAAGCCGGGGCAACCUGGCGCUUUUUGAGGAGCCCGCGGCCUAUCAGCUGUUGGCGGGGUAACGGCCCACCAAGGCUAUGACGGGUAGCUGGUCUGAGAGGACGACCAGUCACACUGGAACUGAGACACGGUCCAGACACCUACGGGUGGCAGCAGUCGAGAAUUUUUCUCAAUGGGGGAAACCCUGAAGGAGCGACGCCGCGUGGAGGAUGAAGGCUUUCGGGUUGUAAACUCCUGUCAUUUGAGAACAAGUGCCAACAAGUAACUACUGUUGGCUUGAUAGUAUCAAGAAGAGGAAGGGACGGCUAACUCUGUGCCA
rnacentral:rRNA from 1 species